rnacentral:misc_RNA from 1 species
GAUGAAGAACGUAGCGAAAUGCGAUAAGUAAUGUGAAUUGCAGAAUUCAGUGAAUCAUCGAAUCUUUGAACGCAUCUUGCGCUCCUUGGUAUUCUGAGGAGCAUGCCUGUUUGAGUGUCAUUAAAUUCUCAACUACACUGACUUUGAAUUGGUGUGGCUUGGAUUUGGAGGGAAAAUUGUUGUGGGCUUUUUGUAUAGUCUGCUCCCCUGAAAUUGAUUAGCGGUACCUUUGUGGAACUGUCUACAGGUGUGAUAAUUAUCUACAUCUUAGACAUCUGCUGGAAUGCUGCUUUCUAAACCUUACUUGUAUUGACAAUCUUGACCUCAAAUCAGGUAGGACUACCCGCUGAACUUAAGCAUAUCAAUAAGCGGAGG